AAUCAACGCUGGCGGCGUGCCUAACACAUGCAAGUCGAACGCGAAAGUGGAGCAAUCCAUGAGUAGAGUGGCAAACGGGUGAGUAACGCGUGGGCGACCUACCUCUGAGUGGGGGAUAACCUUCCGAAAGGAGGGCUAAUACCGCAUGACAUCCCGUGUUUGGAUACACGGACAUCAAAGCCGGGGAUCGCAAGACCUGGCGCUUGGAGAGGGGCCCGCGUCCGAUAGCUAGUUGGUGAGGUAACGGCUCACCAAGGCUCCGAUCGGUAUCCGGCCUGAGAGGGCGGACGGACACACUGGAACUGAGACACGGUCCAGACUCCUACGGGAGGCAGCAGUGGGGAAUUGUUCGCAAUGGGCGCAAGCCUGACGACGCAACGCCGCGUGGAGGAUGAAGAC
rnacentral:rRNA from 1 species